ensembl:miRNA
GGGGCUGUCCAGGCUGUGAGGGAGAAGCCCGCGUGGCAAGGCUCCUCGUGCCCCUCUGACCCCCGAGACCACGCCCCAGGCGCACCAGGCACUUCCG